GCCAGAAAUUCGCACCACGAGCUCAUCACACAGACUAGAUUAUAAUGUCAAAAUUGCACUGAGCCGCCCCUUUGAAAAAAGUUCCUAUUCUUGCAACGCAAAGCCAUUACAAUGGCUAAUUUUCCUAUUUUUGUAAGAAAAACAGCCUGUAAUUAUACCUACAAAGUGAUGUGAAAGUAGUUACUGAGGAUACGUGAGGAUUGCAAACCAGUCUCCCUGGAUAUUCAAAGGAGUUGACGGACAAUUUGAUUGAAGACUUUAGCUCCAUGAAACUAGCUGAUUUUAGCGUAACAAAUAAGGUUUUUACUGCGUUGCAACUGGCUCCAGACUGGAAUUUAUAACCAAGACUAAAUAUUCAAGUGCCUAUCUGAAGUACUUAACAACAAGUUGUAUUAAGAUCUUAUGAAGUUAAUACCUACAUAAGAAACUAAAUUGGCAUAUCAUUCUGCUACUGAGUAAGUCACUUAAGCUGAUUUCAAUUUUCUUAUUUGUAGCAAAAAAACCCUAGCACAAACACUUUAAUUUUAUGAUGCACUGACAGUAUGAAAAAUAAUUUACUUGGCUUGCUUAUCUAGAUUCUAUAUCUAUAAAAUAUUAUUUGAUUCAUCUGUUUUCUAAGUACCUUAGGAUUAAACUGUAGUGCUGCGGUGGGUAUCUUUUGUAGUAAAAAAAUAUACCUAUGCUGGCUCAAUCUCCGCCUACUACAGAAACAAGACUAUCUAUUCUUGGACCAACAGAACGCCUAUCUCAGCUAUUGGAACACCCAGGCUUGCUGCUCCAUUUUACUUGAGAGCUAGGCUGGCUGAGCUAAAAUUAAGGGGAUAUGUACAAAGGUUCCACUCAAGAGAGCCACAUACAGGAGCUUCACCACCUCUCAGAAUAGAAUAGAAAAUCUACUAAAUAAAGUUUUAUCAAUACCUUGAUAGUGCAGUCAGCAAUAGAUAUUUAUGCCACCCCAGUAACAAAAAUUUGAUCCUCAUGGGUGGAAUAAUAAUAUUUUAUCUAUACUUACUAACUUAAGUAUUACUUACCUUAAUAUUAGUUAUCAUUAUUUUCCAUGUUACAUAAAUAUUACCUAUCAGUGGUCAUAAUAUCUAAGGGCUUGCGUUGGGGUGGCAUACAUAUCUCUUUGGUUGACUGUACAAUAUAUUAUUAUUAUAUCCUAACCUAUAGAAUUACUAUUAAUCUAUUAAUCUUAUUUCAGAUAAUCAAGAAGCAGUUUUUUAGCUAAUAGAAGAGAACCUUAUGCUUGAUAUUUCAGAACACUAAUAAUAAUUGUGAUGUGAUUUAAUAUGAUACUUAAUAAACACAAAAUACAGCAAAAA